GACGAACGCUGGCGGCGUGCUUAACACAUGCAAGUCGAACGGAAAGGCUCCACCUUCCUGGGUUACUCGAGUGGCGAACGGGUGGGUAAAACGGGGGUAACCUGCCCGCAACUUGGGGAUAGGCCGGGGAAACUGGUUCUAAUACCGGAUAGAACGGCCUUUUGGGUGGUGGGGUGGAAAGGUUUUCUGGUGUGGGGUGAGCUCGCGGGCUAUCAGUUUGUUGGUGGGGUAAUGGCCUACCCAGACGGCGACGGGUAGCCGGCCCGGGAGGGUGGACGGUCACAUUGGGACUGAGAUACGGCCCAGACUCCUACGGGAGGCAGCAGUGGGGAAUAUUGCACAAUGGGGGAAACCCUGAUGCAGCGACGCCGCGUGGGGGAUGAAGGCCUUCGGGUUGUAAACUCCUUUCGCUAGGGACGAAGCUUUUUGUGACGGUACCUGGAGAAGAAGCACCGGCUAACUACGUG
rnacentral:rRNA from 1 species